GACGAACGCUGGCGGCGUGCUUAACACAUGCAAGUCGAACGGAAAGGCCUCUUUCGGGGGUUACUCGAGUGCCGAACGGGUAAUUAACCCUUAAUUAACUUGCCCUUGCCUUUGGGUUACUUUCAGGAAAUUGGGCCUAAUCCCGGAUAGGACCUCCUGCUGCUUGUUGGGGUUUGGAAAUUUUCGGCGGUUGGGGUUGGACUCGCGGCUUAUCAGCUUGUUGGUGGGGUAGUGGCUUACCAAGGCUUUGACGGGUAGCCGGCCUGAGAGGGUGACCGGCCACAUUGGGACUGAGAUACGGCCCAGACUCCUACGGGAGGCAGCAGUGGGGAAUAUUGCACAAUGGGUGGAAGCCUGAUGCAGCAACGCCGUGUGCGGGAUGACGGCCUUCGGGUUGUAAACCGCUUUCGCUCAUGACGAAGCUUUGUGUGACGGUAGUGGGUAAAGAAGCACCGGCUAACUACGUG
rnacentral:rRNA from 1 species